AAAAGCCUCAGGUUUCUGGAGGAAGGUUCGUCCGCUCCAGGUUAGUCGGGAGCUAAGGUGAGGCCUAACGGCGUAGCCGAUGCACAGACGGUAGAGAUUCCGUCACCACCAAAAGAGUUAAACACAGGGACACAUUUGAAGUCUCGGAGCCGGGUGUUGGUUCCGGUAGCGAUCGAGGGAAGUUAGUACCGAAGUCCGGGAUGGAAGAUGGCGAGAAAAGCUGUGUGUAUUUCUGCGGUGCCCGUACCGCAAACCGACACAGGUAGGUAGGAAGAAGAUUCUAAGGCCAACGGGAGAAGGGUUGUUAAGGAACUCGGCAAAUUGACCCCGUAACUUCGGGAGAAGGGGUGCUCCAGAGAUGGAGCCGCAGAGAAUCGGCCCAAGCAACUGUUUACCAAAAACACAGGUUUGUGCUAAAUCGAAAGAUGACGUAUACGAGCUGACGCCUGCCCGGUGCUGGAAGGUUAAGAGGAGAUGUGCAAGCAUUGAAUCGAAGCCCCAGUGAACGGCGGCCGUAACAAUAACGGUCCUAAGGUAGCGAAAUUCCUUGUCAGGUAAGUUCUGACCCGCAUGAAAGGCGUAAUGAUUUGGGCACUGUCUCGACAGCCCGCCCGGCGAAAUUGUAGUACCGGUGAAGAUGCCGGUUACCCGCGACAAGACGGAAAGACCCCAUGGAGCUUUACUGUAGCCUAAUAUUGGGUUUCGAUGUUGCAUGCACAGGAUAGAUGGGACACAGGGAAACAAGUGCUUUGGCAUUUGUGGAGUGGCCGUUGGGAUACCAUCCUUGCGAUAUUGGAAUUCUAACCUGCGCCUUUGAAUCAAGGCGGGGGACAUUGUUAGGUGGGCAGUUUGACUGGGGCGGUCGCCUCCUAAAGAGUAACGGAGGCGUUCAAAGGUUCGCUCAGCUUGAACGGAAAUCAAGCAAAAGAGUGCAAACGCAGAAGCGAGCCUAACUGCGAGACUGACGAGUCGAGCAGUAACGAAAGUUGGAGUUAGUGAUCCGGUGGUAUGUGAGUGGAAAUGCCAUCGCUCAACGGAUAAAAGUUACCCUGGGGAUAACAGGCUGAUCUCCCCCAAGAGUCCACAUCGACGGGGAGGUUUGGCACCUCGAUGUCGGCUCAUCGCAUCCUGGGGCUGUAUUCGGUCCCAAGGGUUUGGCUGUUCGCCAAUUAAAGCGGUACGCGAGCUGGGUUCAGAACGUCGUGAGACAGCUCGGUCCCUAUCUGUCGUGGGCGCAGGAUAUUUGAUGGGAGCUGUUCCUAGUACGAGAGGACCGGAGCGGACGUACCUCUGGCGCACCAGUUGUUCUGCCAAGGGCAUAGCUGGGCAACUAUGUACGGAUCGGAUAAACGCUGAAAGCAUCUAAGCGUGAAGCCGACCCAAAGAUAAGAUAUCCCAUUGUUUUAAACAAGUAAGACCCCUUGAAGACUACAAGGUUGAUAGGCACGAUGUGUAAGUGGAGUGAUUCAUUCAGCAAGCGUGUACUAAUAGGUCGAGGGCUUGACC
rnacentral:rRNA from 1 species